CGGAUACUUUUAAAAAUACUUGAUCACCAAAUUGAAACUAAAAUAUCUUUUCAUUUCAAAUCCGCAUAAGAAUUCUGUCUAUCAAAAGCAGCCCUCAAACAAUUGCGAACCACCUUAACUUUUUCCUCGGUCUCUUUAACUAAGUCAACCCUGUGAAUUUGACUCUCUCUAAGCUCGGUCCAAUAUAAGGGCGUCCGGC
rnacentral:lncRNA from 1 species